rnacentral:rRNA from 1 species
CAUGCAGUCGACGGCAGCAUAGGAGCUUGCUCCUGAUGGCGAGUGGCGAACGGGUGAGUAAUAUAUCGGAACGUGCCCUAGAGUGGGGGAUAACUAGUCGAAAGACUAGCUAAUACCGCAUACGAUCUACGGAUGAAAGUGGGGGAUCGCAAGACCUCAUGCUCCUGGAGCGGCCGAUAUCUGAUUAGCUAGUUGGUGGGGUAAAAGCCUACCAAGGCAACGAUCAGUAGCUGGUCUGAGAGGACGACCAGCCACACUGGGACUGAGACACGGCCCAGACUCCUACGGGAGGCAGCAGUGGGGAAUUUUGGACAAUGGGGGCAACCCUGAUCCAGCAAUGCCGCGUGAGUGAAGAAGGCCUUCGGGUUGUAAAGCUCUUUUGUCAGGGAAGAAACGGUAGUAGCGAAUAACUAUUACUAAUGACGGUACCUGAAGAAUAAGCACCGGCUAACUACGUGCCAGCAGCCGCGGUAAUACGUAGGGUGCAAGCGUUAAUCGGAAUUACUGGGCGUAAAGCGUGCGCAGGCGGUUGUGUAAGUCAGAUGUGAAA